AGUGAACGCUGGCGGUAGGCCUAACACAUGCAAGUCGAACGGCAGCACAGUAAGAGCUUGCUCUUACGGGUGGCGAGUGGCGGACGGGUGAGGAAUACAUCGGAAUCUACUUUUUCGUGGGGGAUAACGUAGGGAAACUUACGCUAAUACCGCAUACGACCUACGGGUGAAAGCAGGGGAUCUUCGGACCUUGCGCGAUUGAAUGAGCCGAUGUCGGAUUAGCUAGUUGGCGGGGUAAAGGCCCACCAAGGCGACGAUCCGUAGCUGGUCUGAGAGGAUGAGCGACCCAACUGGGACUAAGAGACGGUGCUGACCCCUACGGGAGGCAGAAGGAGGGAAGUGGCCGAAAUGGGCGAAAGGCUGACGGAGCACCGCAGCGUGAGAGAGGAAGGUCUUCGGAUCGUAAAACUUGGUUAGUAGGGAAGAAAAAAUGUGUAAGUAACUAUGCACGUCUUGACGGUACCUAAUCAGAAAGCCACGGCUAACUACGUG
rnacentral:rRNA from 1 species